AGUGAACGCUGGCGGUAGGCCUAACACAUGCAAGUCGAACGGCAGCACAGUAAGAGCUUGCUCUUACGGGUGGCGAGUGGCGGACGGGUGAGGAAUACAUCGGAAUCUACUUUUUCGUGGGGGAUAACGUAGGGAAACUUACGCUAAUACCGCAUACGACCUACGGGUGAAAGCAGGGGAUCUUCGGACCUUGCGCGAUUGAAUGAGCCGAUGUCGGAUUAGCUAGUUGGCGGGGUAAAGGCCCACCAAGGCGACGAUCCGUAGCUGGUCUGAGAGGAUGAUCAGCCACACUGGAACUGAGACACGGUCCAGACUCCUACGGGAGGCAGCAGUGGGGAAUAUUGGACAAUGGGCACAAGCCUGAUCCAGCCAUACCGCGUGGGUGAAGAAGGCCUUCGGGUUGUAAAGUCCUUUUGUUGGGAAAGAAAAGCAGCAGGUUAAUACCCCGCUGUUCUGACGGUACCCAAAGAAUAAGCACCGGCUAACUUCGUG
rnacentral:rRNA from 1 species